AACUUUCGGCAACGGAUCUCUUGGUUCUGGCAUCGAUGAAGAACGCAGCGAAAUGCGAUAAGUCAUGUGAAUUGCAGAAUUCAGUGAAUCAUCGAAUCUUUGAACGCACAUUGCGCCCAUUAGUAUUCUAUUGGGCAUGCCUGUUCGAGCGUCAUUUUGACCACUUAAGCCUGGCUUAGUGUUGGGAAUCUACGUUUGUAGUUCCUUAAAUCUAGUGGCGGAGCCGCAGUGGCCUCUGAGCGUAGUAAUUUUUUCUCGCUUUGGAAGGUUCUGUAGUUUUUGCCGUUAAACCCCCAAUUUUUUAAGGUUGACCUCGGAUCAGGUAGGAAUACCCGCUGAACUUAAGCAUAUCAAUAAGCGGAGGCU
rnacentral:misc_RNA from 1 species